rnacentral:rRNA from 1 species
GACGAACGCUGGCGGCGUGCUUAACACAUGCCAGUCGAACGGAAAGGCCCUGCUUUUGUGGGGUGCUCGAGUGGCGAACGGGUGAGUAACACGUGAGUAACCUGCCCUUGACUUUGGGAUAACUUCAGGAAACUGGGGCUAAUACCGGAUAGGAGCUCCUGCUGCAUGGUGGGGGUUGGAAAGUUUCGGCGGUUGGGGAUGGACUCGCGGCUUAUCAGCUUGUUGGUGGGGUAGUGGCUUACCAAGGCUUUGACGGGUAGCCGGCCUGAGAGGGUGACCGGCCACAUUGGGACUGAGAUACGGCCCAGACUCCUACGGGAGGCAGCAGUGGGGAAUAUUGCACAAUGGGCGGAAGCCUGAUGCAGCAACGCCGCGUGCGGAUGACGGCCUUCGGGUUGUAAACCGCUUUCGCCUGUGACGAAGCGUGAGUGACGGUAAUGGGUAAAGAAGCACCGGCUAACUACGUG